rnacentral:rRNA from 1 species
GGGUUGUGAGGUUAAGCGACUAAGCGUACACGGUGGAUGCCACGGCAGUCAGAGGCGAUGAAGGGCGUGCUAAUCUGCGAUAAGCGCCGGUAAGGUGAUAUGAACCGUUAUAACCGGCGAUACCCGAAUGGGGAAACCCAGUGUGAUUCGUCACACUAUCAUUAACUGAAUCCAUAGGUUAAUGAGGCGAACCGGGGAACUGAAACAUCUAAGUACCCCGAGGAAAAGAAAUCAACCGAGAUUCCCCAGUAGCGGCGAGCGAACGGGGAGGAGCCCAGAGCCUGAAUCAGCAUGUGUGUUAGUGGAAGCGUCUGGAAAGGCGCGCGAUACAGGGUGACAGCCCCGUACACAAAAGCGCAUGUGCUGUGAGCUCGAUGAGUAGGGCGGGACACGUGGUAUCCUGUCUGAAUAUGGGGGGACCAUCCUCCAAGGCUAAAUACUCCUGACUGACCGAUAGUGAACCAGUACCGUGAGGGAAAGGCGAAAAGAACCCCGGCGAGGGAGUGAAAAAGAACCUGAAACCGUGUACGUACAAGCAGUGGGAGCACCCUUCGGGGUGUGACUGCGUACCUUUUGUAUAAUGGGUCAGCGACUUAUAUUCUGUAGCAAGGUUAACCGUAUAGGGGAGCCGCAGGGAAACCGAGUCUUAACCGGGCGUUAAGUUGCAGGGUAUAGACCCGAAACCCGGUGAUCUAGCCAUGGGCAGGUUGAAGGUUGGGUAACACUAACUGGAGGACCGAACCGACUAAUGUUGAAAAAUUAGCGGAUGACCUGUGGCUGGGGGUGAAAGGCCAAUCAAACCGGGAGAUAGCUGGUUCUCCCGAAAGCUAUUUAGGUAGCGCCUCGUGAAUUCAUCUCCGGGGUAGAGCACUGUUUCGGCUAGGGGGCCAUCCCGGCUUACCAACCCGAUGCAAACUGCGAAUACCGGAGAAUGUUAUCACGGGAGACACACGGCGGUGCUAACGUCCGUCGUGAAGAGGAAACAACCCAGACCGCCAGCUAAGGUCCCAAAGUCAUGGUUAAGUGGGAAACGAUGUGGGAAGGCCCAGACAGCCAGGAUGUUGGCUUAGAAGCAGCCAUCAUUUAAAGAAAGCGUAAUAGCUCACUGGUCGAGUCGGCCUGCGCGGAAGAUGUAACGGGGCUAAACCAUGCACCGAAGCUGCGGCAGCGACGCUUAUGCGUUGUUGGGUAGGGGAGCGUUCUGUAAGCCUGCGAAGGUGGCCUGUGAGGGUUGCUGGAGGUAUCAGAAGUGCGAAUGCUGACAUAAGUAACGAUAAAGCGGGUGAAAAGCCCGCUCGCCGGAAGACCAAGGGUUCCUGUCCAACGUUAAUCGGGGCAGGGUGAGUCGACCCCUAAGGCGAGGCCGAAAGGCGUAGUCGAUGGGAAACGGGUUAAUAUUCCCGUACUUGGUGUUACUGCGAAGGGGGGACGGAGAAGGCUAUGUUGGCCGGGCGACGGUUGUCCCGGUUUAAGCGUGUAGGUGUGUGUUCCAGGUAAAUCCGGUUCACUUUAACACUGAGGCGUGACGACGAGGCACUACGGUGCUGAAGCAACAAAUGCCCUGCUUCGGGAAAAGCCUCUAAGCAUCAGGUAACAUCAAAUCGUACCCCAAACCGACACAGGUGGUCAGGUAGAGAAUACCAAGGCGCUUGAGAGAACUCGGGUGAAGGAACUAGGCAAAAUGGUGCCGUAACUUCGGGAGAAGGCACGCUGACACGUAGGUGAAGUGAUUUACUCAUGGAGCUGAAGUCAGUCGAAGAUACCAGCUGGCUGCAACUGUUUAUUAAAAACACAGCACUGUGCAAACACGAAAGUGGACGUAUACGGUGUGACGCCUGCCCGGUGCCGGAAGGUUAAUUGAUGGGGUCAGCGCAAGCGAAGCUCCUGAUCGAAGCCCCGGUAAACGGCGGCCGUAACUAUAACGGUCCUAAGGUAGCGAAAUUCCUUGUCGGGUAAGUUCCGACCUGCACGAAUGGCGUAAUGAUGGCGGGCUGUCUCCACCCGAGACUCAGUGAAAUUGAACUCGCUGUGAAGAUGCAGUGUACCCGCGGCAAGACGGAAAGACCCCGUGAACCUUUACUAUAGCUUGACACUGAACAUUGAGCCUUGAUGUGUAGGAUAGGUGGGAGGCUUUGAAGUGUGGACGCCAGUCUGCAUGGAGCCGACCUUGAAAUACCACCCUUUAAUGUUUGAUGUUCUAACGUGGACCCGUAAUCCGGGUUGCGGACAGUGUCUGGUGGGUAGUUUGACUGGGGCGGUCUCCUCCUAAAGAGUAACGGAGGAGCACGAAGGUUGGCUAAUCUGGUCGGACAUCAGGAGGUUAGUGCAAUGGCAUAAGCCAGCUUGACUGCGAGCGUGACGGCGCGAGCAGGUGCGAAAGCAGGUCAUAGUGAUCCGGUGGUUCUGAAUGGAAGGGCCAUCGCUCAACGGAUAAAAGGUACUCCGGGGAUAACAGGCUGAUACCGCCCAAGAGUUCAUAUCGACGGCGGUGUUUGGCACCUCGAUGUCGGCUCAUCACAUCCGGGGCUGAAGUAGGUCCCAAGGGUAUGGCUGUUCGCCAUUUAAAGUGGUACGCGAGCUGGGUUUAGAACGUCGUGAGACAGUUCGGUCCCUAUCUGCCGUGGGCGCUGGAGAACUGAGGGGGGCUGCUCCUAGUACGAGAGGACCGGAGUGGACGCAUCACUGGUGUUCGGGUUGUCAUGCCAAUGGCACUGCCCGGUAGCUAAAUGCGGAAGAGAUAAGUGCUGAAAGCAUCUAAGCACGAAACUUGCCCCGAGAUGAGUUCUCCCUGAGACUUAGAGUCUCCUGAAGGAACGUUGAAGACGACGACGUUGAUAGGCCGGGUGUGUAAGCGCAGCGAUGCGUUGAGCUAACCGGUACUAAUGAACCGUGAGGCUUAACCUUACAACGCCGAAG